CCUACGGGAGGCUGCAGUGAGGAAUAUUGGUCAAUGGCCGUAAGGCUGAACCAGCCAAGUAGCGUGAGGGAAGCCUGCCCUAUGGGUUGUAAACCUCUUUUAUGCGGGGAUAAAGGUGUCCACGUGUGGAUGUUUGCAGGUACCGCAUGAAUACGGACCGGCUAAUUCCGUGCCAGCAGCCGCGGUACUACGGAAGGUCCGUGCGUUAUCCGGAUUGAUUGGGUUUAAAGGGAGCGUAGGCCGGUCUUUAAGCGUGCCGUGAAAUUUUGUGGCUCAACCAUGAGAGUGCGGCGCGAACUGGAGACCUUGAGUGCGCGGAAGGCAGGCGGAAUUCGUGGUGUAGCGGUGAAAUGCUUAGAUAUCACGCAGAACUCCGAGUGCGAAGGCAGCAUACCGGCGCGCAACUGACGCUCAUGCACGAAAGCGUGGGUAUCGAACAGGAUUAGAUACCCCUGUAGUC
rnacentral:rRNA from 1 species